CAGUAGCCGCGGUAAUACGUAGGGUGCAAGCGUUAAUCGGAAUUACUGGGCGUAAAGCGUGCGCAGGCGGUUAUAUAAGACAGAUGUGAAAUCCCCGGGCUCAACCUGGGAACUGCAUUUGUGACUGUAUAGCUAGAGUACGGCAGAGGGGGAUGGAAUUCCGCGUGUAGCAGUGAAAUGCGUAGAUAUGCGGAGGAACACCGAUGGCGAAGGCAAUCCCCUGGGCCUGUACUUACGCUCAUGCACGAAAGCGUGGGGAGCAAACAGGAUUAGAUACCCCCGUAGUCCCUGUCUCUUAUAA
rnacentral:rRNA from 1 species